rnacentral:rRNA from 1 species
CAGGCGNUNGACNAGAAGGAUNUNAAUCCCAGGGCUUAACCUUGGAACUGCAUUNUUAACUGCCGGGCUAGAGUAUGUCAGAGGGGGGUAGAAUUCCGCGUGUAGCAGUGAAAUGCGUAGAGAUGCGGAGGAAUACCGAUGGCGAAGGCAGCCCCCUGGGAUAAUACUGACGCUCAUGCACGAAAGCGUGGGGAGCAAACAGGAUUAGAUACCCUGGUAGUCCACGCCCUAAACGAUGUCAACUAGCUGUUGGGGCCUUCGGGCCUUAGUAGCGCAGCUAACGCGUGAAGUUGACCGCCUGGGGAGUACGGUCGCAAGAUUAAAACUCAAAGGAAUUGACGGGGACCCGCACAAGCGGU